CUAUCUUUAAAUUUCGGGAGACAUCGCUGAUACACAGGCUUCCUUAGAACCUUAGGAUGAGUGUUAUCCAGAGAUGGCCCUGCCUCUGGGGGCUGCACAGCGAUGCCCAGGCCUUGGCUGGGCAGCUUCCAAAUCAGAAUUGCACUUUAAUUGACUAACCCUCCAUUCUCGAGGCCUUACGCGAUAGUGGGUCUGGGGACCCAUUGCGUUCUUACCUGCCAAAGAACUACCCAGAAGCACAUCAAAUUGCCAACACCCCACCUGCAUGGCAGGGAGGAGGGGAGGUGAGAAACUUUUGUACCCCAAACAUAUUUCUUUAUAGCAUCUGCGGCACUGUUUGGAACUGUUUUCUUUUUAACCUCAGGAUUGAAAUAAAGCAAACACUAUGACACAGGGAGUAGCGUCGUCUUUCUUUGCACCGGGGCCUGAGGCGAGUGAUGAAGUUACCCAGACCGGACCGGGGGUGUGGAGUCACCCUGCUGGGACAUAGAGCAUCGGCUUGUACCCCAGCUUUUUAGAAGGGCUCGAGCCACCAGAUGCUCCGAGAGGUUUGCCGUGUGGCCUGGCAUCUGGGUACUCCCACCCCCACCUACCGUGAGGUCAGCGUUCAGGCCUACUGGAGUCAAGGCACCCUUCCAACCCGGCUGCUCUCCGCCAGAUGAGCAGAGAACACAAUGGUGACCUACCAGGACGGUGUGGGGGGCGGGGGAUGGUCAUGGAUGCCCUAAAACCAUGCUCAGUUGGCCUGUGGUACAAAGGUGGGCAAAACCACAGGGCCAAGGCAGCUGGCGGAGGAAGGAGUCACGUUCCCACCAUAACUUAACGCCUACUCCUGCUGAAUCAGCAGAGACCUGACACAGACCCAGAAGGGGCAGGACCCCAUCACCCCUGGACUGGUCAGAUGGAGCACACUCACCCCACACCCCGCAUCUGAGGAUCACAGCCCCCUUUCCCUCCCUCUCCCUUCCUCCUCCAACCCUCCCCCGGCGCCCAGAUUCUCAUGUGGCCUCUUCUCUGAUCAGUUACACAGGAAUACGUUCUAUUUUCUGUAACCGUAACCAUGUUCUCCCUUGAGGGCAGGCACCGUGUUUCCUUCAUCUCCUUCCUUUCUCUCAGCCCCACAGCGUCGAGCAUCAUGCCAGACACAGAAGCGCUCAGCAGUUACCGAGUCAAUGAGGCCACCAGACGGUCCCCAUGCUUGGUCAGGUCUGAGGCCAUCGCCAAUCCCAUUGGCCAACUUGGCCGGGGACAGGAGCCCCUGUAGCCCCCAUGGCACAGAAGGGCAAAGGGCAAGUCUCCAGGAGGGGGUGUGGGGAGAAUGGAGGUCUGCCCUUUCGGUUUGAAGAUGCGUGGGAAAAAUCUGGCGAGAGGAGUUUGCCGCCCACACAGAUCGGCGAAACCUGUCACCCCAGAUGAGAAAAUGGACUUUUUUUUUUGUUUGUUUGAGAGAGAGCAGUUGAGCCGAAGCCAUCAGAAGCCAGGCGGAGAGCACAGCUAUCAUGAAAGCCGUUCAAAGUGGGUUAGGGUUGACAGAAAGGUCAGCCUUCUGCGUUCCCCACAAGGUGGUUUCUGGAGGAGGGUGAACCCGAGCGCAAGUGUGAUCGCUGGCCUCUGGGGUUUGAUAGCUGUACCCCCGUCCCUCCCCAACCCCCUCGCCCUCCCCCCCUCCCCCCCGGCGCUCUGCGGGAGGACGGGGCCCUGGUGUGGUUUCCUCACACCUUCGGGCAUGUAUGGACUGCGGUUGUCUCAGACGUGGCAGCCCCAUCUGAAGCCUGGAACGAACUGUCUUCUUUGCUAAAAAAGAAAAAAAAAAAAAAAAGAACAAAGUCAGGCAUCCGCAAACCCGGCGCACGUGAGCGUCCUUACCAAAAGGAAGGCCUCGGACCCAGACCAGGUGGGGCUUGCGGGCCUGUGGCUCCCUAGAAUCACCAAAGGGAAGGCGAUUUCAAGUCAGGAGGGCCUCCCUCGCUUUCUGCCGCGGAGGAAGCCUCCGGCUGAGCCACGAGGAGAGAAGGAAGUUUCCCGCAAGGGCCUGGAUACCCGUUGGCCAGGUCGGUGGACAGGUACUGUCCUCUUCCCAGGAGGAAGGAAGGGGGGAGGGGAGGGGAGACAGGGGGAGGCGGUGAGGAAAGAGAGGUACAUGGGAGGGGCCUCCCAGAGGCCUCGGGGAGGGCCGGGCUGGAGUCUGGGUCAGCAGAACUCCCCUUUCUCAUCGGAGGAAAGGGCAGCGUCCGUGUGGCCAAGGCCAACCACCACAUCCAGCAGAGGCAACAUUUAAAUAGAAGGAAGACCUGGACGGUUUGCCAAAAAGACACGGAAGGCAGUGGCUGGAGACACGGGAAAGGUAGUCGGGUUCGUUCCCGUGUCUCUGGGCUUGGCUUCAGGGCUUCCUGUGCUCUCACAGAAAGGCCCUGAGGAGGGACGGCAGCCAGAGUCCUCCCCCCGCCGCCAGGCCUUUGCACCAGGGACGGGGUCCGUGUGUGGGACCAGAGGUCUGGGCAGGGACCGCCCUUCUCCACCAGCAAGGACCCCUGUGGAACCGUUGGGUGUUCUCAGAACGAGGGCCACACGCUCACGGCCAUGCCAACUCUGGUUCAUCAGGCUGAGCCACCCAGAAGCCUGCUAGCGGAUCAGCGCAGGUGACCCGCUAGGCCACCCCGAGGUCCUUGAGUGUCACUGCCGUGUCACCACUGCAGUCAGAGCUUGAGGAAAGGGGUGAAACGAACUAAUGGAUCUGUCCUCGAAUUUCUCUUCGCCAGUGACCCCUGAACCUUGGAACGGGGACUUCUCCAACCUCAGCCCGUUGGCCCAAGCGCCGGGACACAGGGGCAGCGACUUCCUUCUUGGAGAGGAAGCUACUUCCAAACAAACCACCGGGGAGGAAACUGUUCUACGGGCAGAAGUUUUCACAGCCGCCAUUUCUUCCACGGCUCGUGUUUGCCUUCAAGGACAUGUUGCUCGCUGACAGAUCGUUCCUCAGUGGGGAAACAUCCCCUGCCCCAAAUCCAAAGUGGCUUCAUCCAUGUCCAAAAUUUCAGAGUUCCAGGAAGAAACGGGAGUUCAGUGCCGACGGAUACGUGACGGGGGAGGUCGGGUCAAAUGCGGGCUCCUCACCUGGUCCAUACGCAGAACUCAGAAGGUCCGGGAACUUGGAUAGGGGGAAAAUGGCCUCUUUCCCCUGACUUUGCACUAAAAUGUAGAUCUUCCCCCCCACCGUGAAUGUAAACAACGUGUCACACUAGCACAUGUCAGCAAGGGCUGUGAUUUCGUCGCCAAUGGAAGUGACAGAUGUUUUCAUAUUUAACAGACUCUCAAAAUCUCAUCUCUGCUCUACAACAAAGGUUGUCAUCACACCCGCUGGUCGAUUUUACUUAAUGCAUUAAUAAUGAAAAAAAAAAAGGCACAGAUGUUACUGGUUCGUAAAUUUGUUCUGAUUUUUAGAGGAUUGUAUUUCAA